rnacentral:rRNA from 1 species
GCUGAAACUCGCCUACAUGAAGCUGGAGUUACUAGUAAUCGCAGAUCAGAAUGCUGCGGUGAAUGCGUUCCCGGGUCUUGUACACACCGCCCGUCACACCACGGGAGUUGGAGACGCCCGAAGCCGAUUAUCUAACCUUUUGGAAGAAGUCGGCGAAGGUGGAAUCAAUAACUGGGGUGAAGUCGUAACAAGGUAGCCGUAUCGGAAGGUGCGGCUGGAUCACCUCCUUUCUAAGGAGA